rnacentral:misc_RNA from 1 species
CUCAUUUCAUAUAAAAGCUUGUGCCGAGUGGAUUUACUUUACUGUAUUUACGAUAACUCGAUAAAAUACAAAGAGAACCAAAACGAAUAAGGAAGAACCAAAAGAAAAAGAUGAAAAUAGUACCAUCUGAGUAUAAUAGGCUUGAGGUUGAAAGCUGGGAUCUCCUAAAAUUAUAAGAUUAUAGCUUCUUUUGAUACAAAUAGUACAACAGCGAGGGCAUCCAAACUCGAAAGUGGACCUUUUGCUGUAGGUUAAAUGUUGUAUUCAUGAACACGCAUCCAUUUCGUAGAUGACCACUUGUUACCCUUAAUCACAGCGCACCCACCAUGCAAGCUUGAAGGAUCAAGAGUAGCAUCAGGCUUCAUGCUCCAGAAAAGCAAAGCAUCACCCAUCUUUGGUUUUACAGAGAGUCCACCUUUUCCACAUUCAGAUAGCUCAUUCCACCAAGGAACCGCACUAAAGUUUCCCUGGGCAGCAGGAAAUACAGUUUCUCCCCCUUCUUCAACAUCUGAUAAGUACAUCAAAACCGUAGCAAUGCGUUGACCACCAUUUUGAGUAUUAAACUCAUCCGAAAAGUAAUCAUAGUGUGGCUCAUACUUUUGACCCACUUCAUAGUGGAGAAUUUGAAGACCUUCACCAUGCUCUACGGGUAUAAAGGUGAAAUCUGCAAUCCUUUUCUCUAUGGUCCUGACUACUUUAUCUUGUCCCCUGGAAAGAAAUGUUCCCGAACUUGUUCGAACCCUGCUAUCUGUACUCUUGCCAGUAGCACUAUCAACGACAGUUGACUUCUUCAUAUGAGGCUUUCCAAGAUUAAUCAGAUAUUCACAUUCUUCCUUUGACAAGAAAUUAUGGUAGACGACAGCUCUUGGUUCCCAUGAAAUCACUUCAGCCCACUGAUCUCCUCUUCCUCCAUCAUCAUCUCGUCUUCCAGCAGCAUUGUGAGCAAUUGAGCUAAGAUCAUGUACUUUUCGCAAUCCUCUAGAAGUGAAAGGAAUCGAGAAAAUUCCAAAAGCGAGAAGAAUCAGCACGAAAAAUGAAAACCCAAUAAACACGGCAAAAAUCAGCGUAGAGUUAGAUGAUUUUCGAGAUAAACCUCGGAAAUGCCUCCCUUUGACUGCCAUUGUUGCUGAAAAUUAAGCUCUGAAAAAUCAAAUUGGGAAUUUAUCAACCCUAAAAUUG